UACGGGGGGAGCAAGCGUUGUUCGGAUUUACUGGGCGUAAAGGGCGCGUAGGCGGUCGUGACAAGUCACUUGUGAAAUCUCCGGGCUUAACUCGGAACGGUCAAGUGAUACUGUCGGGCUAGAGUGCAGAAGGGGCAACUGGAAUUCUCGGUGUAGCGGUGAAAUGCGUAGAUAUCGAGAGGAACACCUGCGGCGAAGGCGGGUUGCUGGGCUGACACUGACGCUGAGGCGCGAAAGCCAGGGGAGCGAACGGG
rnacentral:rRNA from 1 species